CUAGCGAGACUGCCGGUAAUAAACCGGAGGAAGGUGGGGACUGACGUCAAAUCAUCAUGCCCUUAUGACCUGGGCUACACACGUGCUACAAUGGUUGGUACAACGAGUUGCGAGUCGGUGACGGCGAGCUAAUCUCUUAAAGCCAAUCUCAGUUCGGAUUGUAGGCUGCAACUCGCCUACAUGAAGUCGGAAUCGCUAGUAAUCGCGGAUCAGCACGCCGCGGUGAAUACGUUCCCGGGCCUU
rnacentral:rRNA from 1 species